rnacentral:rRNA from 1 species
AUUGAACGCUGGCGGCAUGCUUUACACAUGCAAGUCGAACGGUAACAGGGAGCUUGCUCCGCUGACGAGUGGCGAACGGGUGAGUAAUGCGUCGGAACGUGCCGAGUAGUGGGGGAUAACGCAUCGAAAGGUGUGCUAAUACCGCAUACGUACUGAGGUAGAAAGUGGGGGACCUUCGGGCCUCACGCUAUUCGAGCGGCCGACGUCUGAUUAGCUAGUUGGUGAGGUAAAGGCUCACCAAGGCGACGAUCAGUAGCGGGUCUGAGAGGAUGAUCCGCCACACUGGGACUGAGACACGGCCCAGACUCCUACGGGAGGCAGCAGUGGGGAAUUUUGGACAAUGGGCGCAAGCCUGAUCCAGCCAUGCCGCGUGUCUGAAGAAGGCCUUCGGGUUGUAAAGGACUUUUGUCCGGGAGCAAAUGCCUGGUGUUAAUAGCAUCGGGGGCUGAGAGUACCGGAAGAAUAAGCACCGGCUAACUACGUGCCAGCAGCCGCCGUAACAC